UUAAGGGCUUAAGCAUCCUUGUUCUUACAAUAGAAGAAAAAGAAAGAAAGAAGAAAAAAACACAAGCAAAAAAAAUUAAAUAAAAACUUUUCCUUUGAUUAAAUCUCCUUUCUUCCAGUAUAAAACAUGUGAUCUUGAGUCCUAUGUACUGUCCUGUUUGUGAAUCUAUUUCCAGACAAUGGUUUGUGUUGGCCCCAAAUCUACUUGUAUAAAGCAAACAUAUCCACUGUGAGGUGCUGUUUUUCUAAACUAAAGAGACUUAAAGGACCACUAUAGUGCCAGGAAAACACUCAUUUUCCUGGCACUAUAGUGCCCUGAGGGUGCCCCCACCCUCAGGGACCCCCUCCUGCCCGGCUCUGGAAGGGGGAAAACUUACCUUUUUCCAGCGCUGGGCGGGGAGCUCUCCUCCUUCGUUCCUCCCCGUCGGCUGAAUGCGCACGCGCGGCAAGAGCUACGCGCACAUUCAGCCGGUCGCAUAGGAAAGCAUUAUCAAUGCUUUCCUAUGGACGCUGGCGUGCUCUCACUGUGAAAAUCACAGUGAGAAGCACGCAAGCACCUCUAGUGGCUGUCAAUGAGACAGCCACUAGAGGAUUAGGGGGAAGGCUUAAC